UACAGAGGGUGCGAGCGUUAAUCGGAAUUACUGGGCGUAAAGCGUGCGUAGACGGUUAUUUAAGUCGGGUGUGAAAGCCCCGGGCUCAACCUGGGAAUUGCAUUCGAGACUGAAUAGCUAGGGUACGGUAGAGGGAAGUGGAAUUUCCGGUGUAGCGGUGAAAUGCGUAGAUAUCGUAAGGAAGACCAGUGGCGAAGGCGGGUCUCUGGACAGUUCCUGACGCUGAGGCACGAAGGUCAGGGGAGCAAACGGG
rnacentral:rRNA from 1 species